GGAAAGGUGGCCGAGUGGUUAUGGCGUGUGGCUCAAGAUACGAUUUCGUAUCUUUCUGAUGUAAAGAUCAGUGAGACUUCUCAUAGGGAAACCUGCAGGGGUUCGAAUCCCCUCCUUUUCA
rnacentral:tRNA from 1 species